GACGAACGCUGGCGGCGUGCUUAACACAUGCAAGUCGAACGGAAAGGCCUGCUUUCCCUUGUGGAUUGCGGGUACUCGCGUGGCGAACGGGUGAGUAACACGUGAGUGAUCUGCCCCCAACUUGGGUAUAAGCCUGGGAAACUGGGUCUAAUUCCCGAUAGGACUGCAGGGUGGUGCCUGUGGUGGAAAACGAUUUUCUAGUGGUUGGGGAUGAGCUCGCGGCCUAUCAGCUUGUUGGUGGGGUAAUGGCCUACCAAGGCGGCGACGGGUAGCCGGCCUGAGAGGGUGGACGGCCACAUUGGGACUGGGAUACGGCCCAGACUCCUACGGGAGGCAGCAGUGGGGAAUAUUGCACAAUGGGCGGAAGCCUGAUGCAGCGACGCCGCGUGGGGGAUGACGGCCUUCGGGUUGUAAACUCCUUUCGACCGCGAGGAAGCCACCUGGUUGGAAGGGUGGUGACGGUAGUGGUAGAAGAAGCACCGGCUAACUACGUG
rnacentral:rRNA from 1 species